rnacentral:rRNA from 1 species
AACGAACGCUGGCGGCAGGCCUAACACAUGCAAGUCGAACGCCCUAGCAAUAGGGAGUGGCGCCCGGGUGCGUAACGCGUGGGAAUAUGCCCUUGACUGCGGAACAACGUCGGGAAACUGACGCUAAUACCGCAUAAUGUCUUCGGACCAAAGAUUUAUCGGUCAAGGAUUAGCCCGCGUCUGAUUAGCUAGUUGGUGAGGUAACGGCUCACCAAGGCGACGAUCAGUAGGGGGUCUGAGAGGAUGAUCCCCCACACUGGGACUGAGACACGGCCCAGACGCCUACGGGAGGCAGCAGUGAGGAAUAUUGGACAAUGGGCGCAAGCCUGAUUCAGCCAUGCCGCGUGAGUGACGAAGGCCUUCGGGUUGUGAAGCUCUUUCAGAUGCGAAGAUAAUGACGGUAACAUCAGAAGAAGCCCCGGCUAAAUUCGUGCCAGCCGCCGCGGUAA